UACAGAGGUCUCAAGCGUUGUUCGGAUUCAUUGGGCGUAAAGGGUGCGCAGGCGGCGCGGUAAGUCGGGUGUGAAAUCUUGGAGCUUAACUCCGAAACUGCAUUCGAUACUGCCGUGCUUGAGGACUGGAGAGGAGACUGGAAUUUACGGUGUAGCGGUGAAAUGCGUAGAUAUCGUAAGGAAGACCAGUGGCGAAGGCGGAUCUCUGGACAGCUCCUGACGCUGAGGCGCGAAGGCUAGGGGAGCAAACGGG
rnacentral:rRNA from 1 species